rnacentral:misc_RNA from 1 species
GGUAACUGCAUUUGCUGAAUCGGAAACAAUAAUGGCGGUUCCUUCGAUGGUAUCGGCGACGGCUCCGGCCUCGCUUUACGUUGGGGACCUGCACCCUGACGUCACUGAUGGACAGCUCUUUGAUGCAUUCUCCGAGUUCAAGAGCCUCGCCUCCGUUCGCGUUUGUAGAGAUUCCUCCUCUGGCAGGUCUCUCUGUUAUGGUUACGUCAACUUUAUCUCUCCACAGGAUGCUAUCCAGGCUAUUGAGAUGAUGAAUCACACUGCCUUGAAUGGAAAAUUCAUGAGGGUCAUGUGGUCACACCGUGAUUCUGAUACAAGAAAAAGUGGAAUAGGAAAUGUGUAUGUUAAGAAUUUGAGUGAGUCAAUUGAUAAUGUGGGGCUUCAAGAUUUAUUCGGCAAGUUUGGGACUAUUAUAUCUUGCAAAGUUGCCAUGAAUGAGGAUGGGAAGAGUAAAGGCCAUGGCUUUGUUCAGUUCGACUCAGAGGAUUGUGCAAAUUCUGCCAUUGAGAAGUUAAAUGGCUCCAUUGUUAGUGAUAAGCAGAUAUACGUCGGAAAGUUUGUUAAAAAGAGUGAUCGAGUUUUGCCAAGCCCUGAUGCUAAAUAUACAAAUAUAUAUGUGAAAAACUUGGAUCCUGAAAUCUCAGAAGAGGUUCUGCUGGAGAAGUUCGCUGAAUUUGGGAAAAUAGUCAGCCUGGUGAUUGCAAAGGAUGAAAAUGGAGUCUCAAGAGGAUUUGGUUUUGUCAAUUUUGAUAACCCAGAUGAUGCCAGAUGGGCCGUGGAAAGAAUGAAUGAAACAGAACUUGGUUCAAAGGUUCUUUGUGUAGGAAGGGCACAAAAGAAAGCAGAGCGUGAACAUAUUUUGCGUAGUCAGUUUGAAGAAAAACGUAAGGAUCAUAUCAUGAAAUACAAGGGUUCAAAUGUGUAUGUGAAAAACAUCGAUGAUGAAGUCACUGAUGAAGAGCUAAAAGAACACUUCAGCCAAUGUGGUACGAUUACGUCUGCAAAACUUAUGAGAGAUGAUAAAGGAAUAAGUAAGGGGUUUGGAUUUGUAUGCUUCUCCAUGUCUGAAGAGGCCAAUAAAGCUGUGAGCACCUUUCAUGGUUGCAUGUUUCACCGCAAGCGACUGUAUGUGGCUAUUGCUCAAAGGAAGGAGGAUAGACAAGAACAAUUGCAACUGCAAUAUGCUCACUGUAUGGCUGGAAUAGCUGGACCUUCCACAGCUUUUAUUCCUGGUGGAUAUCCUCGCCUUUACUACACAGCCCCUUCUGGUGUUGUUUCACAAGUACUGCCUGGGCUGAUGUACCAACCUUUGGGUAUGAGGCCAGGAUGGAGGGCUAAUGGCUUUGCUCCUCCAACCAGACCAAACUUACAACCAUCACAACUUCCAGUAAUGUCUAAUACUCAAAGACAACACAAGCAGAACAGAGGACGGAUAAAUGGCCAUGUUUCCCCCCUUGGUGGUAAUCACUCUGUCUCGUAUAUUGAACAGCCCACCCAAUCACCAACUUCAUCAAAAGGUCCAAGCAACCAGCGGCCUGGGCAGGCUAAGUAUCUACCAAAUUGUCACACUCGUGAAGUGGGCAAAGGAUCUGGAGUCUUAUCUGCUGUUCCCACUUCCCUCAGCCCUGUGUCUCAAGGAUCAGAGAUGCUUAAUAGCAUGCUAGCUGCUGCUUCCCCUGAGGAGCAAAAACAGAUUCUAGGGGAGCAGCUUUACCCACUCAUUAAGAAACACCAGCCUGAUCUUGUUGCAAAGAUUACGGGAAAGCUUCUGGGGAUGGACAACUCAGAACUGCUUCUAUUGUUGGUAUCGCCAGAGUCUCUGGCCGCCAAGGUGGAGGAAGCCGUGCAGGUGCUGAAGAUCACUAAAACAAAAGUAUCUGGUCAAGACACUCCUCAUCCAAGUUAUCUUUCUGCAUAGUGACAGGGUAAAAAGUCUAGAGGUUGUGGUGCGGCUUGGCUCCUUGACAGCAAAAUUUUUGACACUCAACACAAGUGGAUCUCCUUUUUUCUGUACUUUAACUUCAAGUUUUGCAGCACAGGAUUUUGUCAAUUCCAUGAACUGUUAUAUUUUGGUCUUAUUGAGAUCUAUCAAUAAGAGUUGGGAAAACUUUCGUAUUGUGUUAGUAACGUUGGUAGCAUUAGCUUGAAAUGGGAUUUUCUU